ACUGUUAAUGAUGGUGGACAAAAGAACCUUAUAAACUUGAUCUAAUUCACACUGAAUCACAGGAAAUGUUCUUCUGUCUCUGAGAAAAUCUGCCAACACUCCACAAGAGUUUUCCAGACAUCAUGUCCCUCCUUUAUAUUUCCAUCUUAUGGGUCUGUGCCUGUGUGGACAGUGCAGAAUCUCUGGUUACUGUAUCAGCUCCAGUGGGUUCCACAGUCAUCCUGCCAUGUAAACUGACUGAAGAGUUUAAACCAACAUCACUUAUUAGGUGGAAGAUCAACAG